UACAGAGGUCCCGAGCGUUGUUCGGCUUCACUGGGCGUAAAGGGUGCGUAGGUGGCUUGAAAAGUUUGAUGUGAAAGCUCAGGGCUUAACCCUGAAAUGGCAUUGAAUACUGUCGAGCUGGAGGUUUGGAGGGGGGACUGGAAUUCUUGGUGUAGCAGUGAAAUGCGUAGAUAUCAAGAGGAACACCAGUGGCGAAGGCGAGUCCCUGGACAACACCUGACACUGAGGCACGAAAGCUAGGGGAGCAAACAGG
rnacentral:rRNA from 1 species